AGCGUUGUGCAAGCAGGCUCUGGAGACCCGCAGGCUCCUGGGCAGAGGGCUGCCUUCUGUGUGGGCUUGCCCCUCGCCACACCUGGCCAGGAGCCUCCCCCAGCCCCGUGACCCUUGUGUCAGAGCCUGGCCAGAUGACAGACGGCCUGGGGUGCAGGCGAGACCCACUGAACUGGCAGCUGAGGACAGGUCCAGGCCCAGUGGCUGGGGGACUUCUCAGAGCAGGUACCACAACAGCUACCCAAGGACUCAGGACUUUUCUCCCACAGCCAGACUUGGUGAUUGCAUGAAGGAGCCCAGCCUCGGAUGACCUUUCCCCGUGACAAGGCACUAGGAGAGCACAGACCUCCCCACACAAACAUAACACACAAGAGCUCAGGUAACAAGAAGAGAACUGUACCCGGAUGAUGAACUGGAACAUCCACCCUCAUCUUCACCUCCUCCACCCCAGGCCAUGUGCUUCACAGUCACACAGGGGAGCUUCUGGAAUGGACAGUGUUCCUGGUGUUGACUAUAGCCGUGGGCCUCUGAGAAGCUGAAGCAGUGUUGGGCGGAGACAGCUUCAGGGUCACCAGGCCCAGCUAGAACUCCAGGCUGACCUCAGGGCAACGUCCAGCAUCAAGAUGAGCUCCUGGGGCAUGAGGCUACGCAAGGCCUGAGACCCCACAGAUGGAGGACGCUGGGCCACCUGGUGGGGCUCCUUCAGCAAGAGAGGAAAGCAGGCCAAGGCCAGAGGCAGCUGCUGUCUGAAGAUGGGAGGGAGGCGUGCAGGCCUGGCUCCAGCCCACGGUGCGCAGCAAACUCCAGCCUGCUAGACGCAGAUGCAAUUGGAGCCAAGUGCACCUUGAUACCUCCAAGAUGUGACCCCUUACCAGACCCUAAACAAACCUUGUUGACAGAGCCAGACCACCCCUAUUUGAAUCAGCUGCGUGGCCACGUGCCUGUCAUUCGGUCUCUCUGUCCCCAUUUCUACAAUGUAAAACAGGAAAGUGAAACCCAUGGGCCAGCGGCCGCAUGCAGGAAAGCUGGCACUGUCAGCCAUGGCUGUGGUGACUCCCUGGGCCUUAAGCGAGCAAAGAGCCCACACACCCAAAUUCAGCACCU
rnacentral:lncRNA from 1 species